rnacentral:rRNA from 1 species
UAGGGAAUCUUCGGCAAUGGACGAAAGUCUGACCGAGCAACGCCGCGUGAGUGAAGAAGGUUUUCGGAUCGUAAAGCUCUGUUGUAAGAGAAGAACGGGUGUGAGAGUGGAAAGUUCAUACUGUGACGGUACUUAACCAGAAAGGGACGGCUAACUACGUGCCAGCAGCCGCGGUAAUACGUAGGUCCCGAGCGUUGUCCGGAUUUAUUGGGCGUAAAGCGAGCGCAGGCGGUUUGAUAAGUCUGAAGUUAAAGGCUGUGGCUCAACCAUAGUUCGCUUUGGAAACUGUUUAACUUGAGUGCAGAAGGGGAGAGUGGAAUUCCAUGUGUAGCGGUGAAAUGCGUAGAUAUAUGGAGGAACACCGGUGGCGAAAGCGGCUCUCUGGUCUGUAACUGACGCUGAGGCUCGAAAGCGUGGGGAGCGAACAGGAUUAGAUACCCUGGUAGUCCACGCCGUAAACGAUGAGUGCUAGGUGUUAGGCCCUUUCCGGGGCUUAGUGCCGCAGCUAACGCAUUAAGCACUCCGCCUGGGGAGUACGACCGCAAGGUU